UACGAAGGGGGCUAGCGUUGUUCGGAAUUACUGGGCGUAAAGCGCACGUAGGCGGAUACCUAAGUUAGGGGUGAAAUCCCAGAGCUCAACUCUGGAACUGCCUUUAAUACUGGGUAUCUCGAGUCCGAGAGAGGUGAGUGGAAUUCCGAGUGUAGAGGUGAAAUUCGUAGAUAUUCGGAGGAACACCAGUGGCGAAGGCGGCUCACUGGCUCGGUACUGACGCUGAGGUGCGAAAGCGUGGGGAGCAAACAGG
rnacentral:rRNA from 1 species